rnacentral:rRNA from 1 species
UACGGGGGGGGCAAGCGUUGUUCGGAAUUACUGGGCGUAAAGGGCUCGUAGGCGGCCAACUAAGUCGGAUGUGAAAUCCCCAGGCUUAACCUGGGAACUGCAUCCGAUACUGGAUGGCUUGAAUCCGGGAGAGGGAUGCAGAAUUCCAGGUGUAGCGGUGAAAUGCGUAGAUAUCUGGAGGAACACCAGUGGCGAAAGCGACUUCCUGGCCUGUUCUUGACGCUGAGGCGCGAAAGCUAGGGGAGCAAACGGG